CCCAGCCGUGCCGCCAGCGGCUGGUGGAGCUGUGGCAGCGAGCGCGCCGCCAUGCGAUUUCGGGCAAAGAUUGUGGAUCUCGCCUGCCUCAACAGCUUCAGCCGUGUAAUUAACACAAUCGCCAAGUUAGCCAAGACCUGCACCCUGCGCCUUACUGUCUGCAAGUUGUACUUCAUCCUCUCCGAUAAAGUAGCAAAUGGAGGCGCCAGUAUGUGGUGUGAGCUGUGCCAGGGCAAUUUCUUCGACGAAUUUCAGAUGGAAGGAGUAGCUGCAGAGCACAAUGAAAUCUAUUUAGAGUUGGUGCCUGAGAACCUGUCGAGAGCAUUAAAAACUGCCCACAGUGCUAAGGCAGUGAAGAUCAAGUUGACUAAUAAACACUGUCCCUGUCUCAGAGUUGCUGUUGAGUUACCAUCCUUAUCAAGCAGCAGUAGGAUUGUGACACAUGAUAUUCCUGUGGGGGUUAUUCCCAGAAGAAUAUGGAAUGACUUCAGAGAGCCCACUGUGCCAGACUUUGAUGUCAGUAUUUACCUACCAGUGCUGAAAACAAUGAAGAGCGUUGUGGAAAGAAUGAAGAAUCUCAGCAAUUUCAUUGUGAUUGAAGCAAACUUGAGUGGAGAAAUGAACUUGAAAAUAGAAACUGACUUAGUAUCUGUAACAACACAUUUUAAAGACCUGGGAAAUCCUCCCUGGGCAUCAGAGGAUGAGUGUCAAAGUUCUGCUCAAGGCAGAGAUCUGGAAAGUAUGGCUGUGGCACGCAUAGACAUCAGGAAGCUGCAGCAGCUGCUUGCUGGACAGCAGGUCAAUCCCACGAAAGCAUUGUGCACUUUCAGACUAUUAAUGCUUCCUAAAUUCUCAAGGACCUGAAUAUGUGUAGUCAUCCUUCUGUCGGCAAUGGUAGAAGCACUGUAUUCUUAUGAUGAAAAUAGGCAAGAUCAAACUCUGCAUUAGACUGCAUGAGACGGGAAGCCAGGCACUACUCUGAAAAUACAGGUGUUGCUGAAAGAGUGAGGUAUGUCACCCUAAUAAAAAUAAUAAGAAUGCUGGUCUCCAGGUGUUAAUUUUGAUCCAUCAUAAUUCAGAUUAAGAUAAUUAUUUCUAUGUCAGGGUAUUUCUAGUGACAUGUUCACCUUGCCAUCAAGGCCAGACCUGGAGUUUUCAUGCAAGUCACUUAGUAAAAACCAGAUGAGGUGAUGACAUGCAAAUGAACAGGUUUGUCAGAGCUCCCCUUUAUAAUAUGAUCUAGGUAUCAUUUUAUCUUAUGUAACUACUUAACUAACUCUGUGGUGAAGUUGUCAGUUCAACUAAAUGGGCUACCAUAAGUACACCAACCUUUUGUCUGCAGUUUGAUUCCUCAGCUUACCGUGGAUGGCGAUGAAAUCGUAUCCCAAAUUGACUGAAUGACUGUAAAUAACUUUCAGUAGUAAAGUGUUAUAGAUUAGAGCCAUAGUGUUAUGGAUUGUAUAGGGAACAGAAGUUUAAAUUCUUUAGUGUUAAAGAGAGCUGAAUGUCCAGGAGCUAAGUUAAUUUUUGAAGUUUAUUAUUUACUUUCUGCUUCCCCUGUUCCAUUGAUUUUGCAGUUCUUGUCAAGAGAACCAAUAUGAACUUGUUUAAUGAAAUUAAGUAUACUUUUAAAAAAGCAUCAAUCUAAAUGGCUUGGCAGAAAUCAAUGAAUAAAGUAACACUGACGCCAAAAGGCCUUCAUCAUUUAAUUUGUAUUCUUAAAUAAAGUUAUACAGAUUACAACUGUAGAAGUUUUACAGAUUUUAUUUUGGUUGGUGGCCAGCCUGUGCUUGUUUUUAUUACAGACCUUUUAUGUUAUUCUGCCUAAAUCUGGAUUUUCAGCCUUUUCUGGACCAAACAAUUAGUUCAAAAUUCUUGUGUAAGUGAAACUAAAAUAUUGAUAUUUUAAGUUUUAAAGUAUUGAAACAAAAAAAGGUACUGAACUAUAUGCUGCUGCAAUAGGAAGUUGUUAAAUACAAUCAGUUAGCCUUAGAAACUUGAUUAUAAAAGAUAAUCCCAUGAACAGAGGCAUGUUUUAUGAGUAGGAAUUAUUUUGUGUGGAAGUAUGUUUCAGUUGCACCUAUUAAGAUUUACAGAAUUAGCCUACAGGUUUGUUAUGUUAAGAUUUGUGUGAAAAAACUUAGAUAUAGUCAAUGACUUAAUGAAAAAGAUAAUGAAACAAAAAUCAUGAAAAUGAGAUGCUAACUAGAAGACUAGGUGCCAGGACAGCUCAAUCAUCUCUCAUCUUUCUUUUGGGAUAAACUACUUCAGAGAAUCAUAGAAUGGCCUGGGUUGGAAGGGACCUUAAAGAUCAUCUAGUUUCAACUCCUCUGCCAUGGAUGGGGACACCUCUCCCUAGACCAGCUUGUUCAGAGCCCCAUUCAACCUGGUCUUAAACACUUCCAGGGAUAGUGCAUCCACAGCUUUUCCAGGCAACUUGUUCCAGUGCCUCACCACUGUCACAGUAAAGAUUUCUUCUUAAUAGCUAAUCUAAGCUUCCUCUUUUUCAGUUUGAAACCAUUCCCCCUUGUCCUGUCUCUACAUGCUGUUGUUAGAAGUCUCUCUCCAUCUUUCUUGUAGGCACCCUUCAAAUACUGGAAGGCUGCAAUAAACACCCUGAAGUCUUCUUCUCUCCAGGCUGAACAACCCCAAUUCUCUCAGUGUUUCCUCCUAGGAGAGUUUCCAUCUCUUAAUGACAUUGCCAGGAAGAAGUUUACUGAGUUGCUAGAGGAAUAGUUAAGAGGUCUUUUGAGGUACACGGCAAUUACUGUAUUUUUGCAGGUAAGGAACCAAACACGGAAGAUUUUCUCAUCUUCUGAGAGGAACGAAGAAUAGGUAAGCCGCAGCAGGCCUUCUGCUUCUCUCUUUUCUGCGCAUUGAGAAACUGAAGUGAGGAAUGUGCAAACAUACUCAAUUAGAGCAACAAGAGAGCUUCUCCUUUUCUUCAUGUCUUGUCAACCUGUCAGAACCUAACACCUACACUCCUUCCGGUCUUGACAGAAGACUAGAUGCCAAGUUACAUCUGCCUGUCAUAUCAUGAAUGUUUUUCAAAAUUAAGGAGAUGAAACCGAGGCUUGAGCCUGUAGCCAGAUUAACAUAGUCAAAUACCUCUUCCAUUAUUCCUCCCACCCUGACAUAAGAAGGGCAUUCUGGUCCUCCUCAUGCAACUGCCUCACUUAAUAGAACAUUUGCAGUGACCUUUCACCAUAACUAACAAUUAUUACUUCUGCAGCCAGCAGAUCAGAACUACAAGCUUGUAAUAUGUAGAUAAGCAUUGCUCUCUGCAGUACUUCGGAGAAGUAGGGAAACAGGCUCAGCCUCGUUACUGAAUAAAGGCAGCACUCAGAAAUUCCAGGGAAAAAGCAGAAUCAGGUUACUUUAGUGGGUAUUAUGGGAUGUAGUAUUCAAAGCAACUUUUUCUUUUCCAAACUGAAAAAAAAAAAAAUUCUGAAAAAGUAUUUUACAUGCUGUCAUGUAAAAUAGUUGAUUAUACCUUAGUCUUCACUGGCUGGCAUUCAUUGCUCUUCUUGCUUUUCCCCGAUUGCCUUUUUUUUUCUAGUGAAAAUGUUUUCACAGUUAAUUUAAAUAUAUUAAUUUAUUUUAAAAAACCCAACCAAAACCAACCCACAUUUCAUCUCCACAGACAUAAAUGCUCUUAAAUUAAGCUCUGUGAAUCUACUUGAAAUGUGUAAAUAGGAAGAAAAAUCAGGUCUCAAGAGAACUCAGGAACUUAAAUGGUGAAAUUCAGAUGUGGAGGUUUUCAUAUGACUGCCACAUCCUUUAGCCCACUCUCUCUUGAGAAAACAAGCAAGGUUUUCAAAGUCAAAGCGAAGCCUAUCUCUCAGUCACCUUCAGCUCUUUCCCUUAUUUAAUCCUGUGCUGGUUUAAAGGCAAACCAGCAGGAGAAAUGAACCCAACUCAAAAGAGAUUAUAAGUCAGAAUUACAAUUUAAUAAAAGUAAUACAAUAAAUACAAUUAUGCAAACAAACAAUUGGUUUUAACCCACAAAAACCCAGAUGUAUAACCUGGCACCCUGGGGCACGAACUGAAUUGUGUUUGUAGGCCCCCCGCGCUGAGCCUCACAUGGUCCCCCUGAGUUCAAAAGUGAAAGGAGAGAGAAAAACCUGUUGGUGUGAGUGAUGGUCGCAGUCCGGCUACGAGUGGUGGUCGCAGUCCAGCUGGGAGCGGUGGCCGCAGUCCGGUCGAGGCUCUUCUUCUCCUCUGGAUUCCACGAGUGGUACCAGCAGUCUGCAAGACCCCAAGGUUAUACACACUCAGGUUCAGGCAGGAAUGCCCAGCACCUCCCCCAGGGCGGGGAGUUCCACAGUGGGUGAUUGUGAGUCGUGGGUGUGAGGACAGGAACAGGCCUCUUAACACCCAGCUUAUAGCCUGAGGGGUCAGGUGUGCUCUGGACAGCUGCUGCAAAUGGUCUAUUGUUAACAGUUCCUGGGAAAUGACAUAGAAGGUGUAGAAUACACAGUUUGGGUUACACCUGCACAGUGAUGAACUGGUCCUGGCUGCUCUAACUAGGACAAAUCCUUUCAUUAAAAAGACGUUAAGUUUGUAAUAGCUGCCAAAAUAUUUCAGGAAAAUAGCUAUUCUGACUGUGUUUUAUUAUGCCUGAUGCAUCCACACAGCCGAGCAAGAAUGAGUACACUGGCAGGAAAAACAGUAACAAAGAAUUAUAAUCUGUGUUUGGAUGGCAAUUACAUAAUUUCUAAACAGUUCAAGAAAUUUCUUUUAAUGUAAUUUCUGCAGCACAAAUCAGAAACAAACUUAUAGAACUGGAUGGCCAUUGUGCAUCUGGUUUCUGUUACUGAGAAGCCAACAGGCACCAUUUGCUCAGACCAUCUGCAGAGAAAAUGUUGACGUUUUUUGAUUUUGUUUUUCUUCUAAGACAAACCAUUUUUGUGGUCCACAUCUCAGGCUUGAAGUAACACAAAGCACAUGUUUCUUCCAGAUAAGGGGAAUGGUACUAUUAAAAAUGUUCUGUGUAGAAUUAAAUCAUAUACUUGACAUAUGAGGGAUACACUCUGGGGAAAUGGAGUGUCUCAUUUUAAAUAUUUGUUGUGUAUUAAGGAGCUGAUACAAAGUCUGCUGUAAUUGGUGUGUGUCUCCCCAGUUUUACUAGCAUGCAUCAGAUCCUCAGUCCUUUCCGAGAUUUGCUAACAGAUUCAGAUUCUGUAAAAAUAUUAAUAAUUUGUCUGCCUUUUCGCUUGCAACAUCCUGUGUUAAAAUAUUCCUUUAAUGGAUGCUCAGAGUUAAGGAAGGCUACAGAACUCUAAAACUAUCCUAAAUAAAAGAGAAAUAAAGGGUAGCACCUUAUAUUACUUGUUGUCAUGAAGAUGUUGACCCACUGUUUUUUGUGUGAAGUCCAAAUUAUGUUGAUGAAGGUACCUCAAGGCUUUAUUUGACACACAGGACAAAGCUGUUGCUGCAUGCCAGCUCUUGACAACAGAAGGAGACAUCCAGACGUCAGUGUUGACUGCAUCUCUCAAAAUUGUGUGUGCAGUGGAGCUGAUGUUUGGUGCUGAAGGUCACACAGAGAGUAAAGUAAUUAGUUAAUUAAUUAAUUAAUUAAUAUGGUUUUUCCUGCAUGGAAGGGAUGGCCAAAUAAUCCAACAGCUUCUGAAGAUGGAGAACAGAAUUUCCAUGCUAGUGAAUAAACUCCAUGAAUGCAUGAAUUUUGUUUGAUUUUAGGGCAAAUUCAGAGAAAACCACAUCCAGUCCAGGCUAGGGAUAAGCUAAAAAAAAUAAUAAUUAUUCUACUAAUAUAUUUGUGAAACAGAAGCUCCAUCCCUCUUUCAAAUAGUUUUUAGGCUCUGAAAUAAAGUAAGUACUGGUUUUACUGGUUAUUUAAAAGACUUUUUCCCUUUAAUUAAGGAGUCUUUCAGGAAUACCUAACUUCUUUUUAACAAUCUAGUAAUAUCGUCUCUUACAGAUGUAGUAAACAUUAGGCAAAAGACAUGAGCUAUAUGAUAUCCUUC